UUAUUAUUAUUCCGCCAGAGUUCGCUCGUCAUAGUUCCGCUGCUGGGUUAGCCAAAUUUUGAACAUUUUAUGAAAGAGAUAAAACAAUAUGGUAACUCAUUAGAUAAAAUUAAAAUAGGCCAUGUUUGGUGCACUUUAAAUAGAGGACAGUGUGUCAGCCUCACAGCGGGGAAUAUGAGUGACAGGAGUCCGUCUGAGCUGAUUAUGGAGCCGAUCCUGAGGGAGAUUCCCACAUCACAGCCGCCGGACGGGAUGAGGCCGAGCACCACACCUUCAUUUCAGAAGCAGUUCUGGAAUGGAUGAUGAUUGUAGAGACACAACAGGAGGGUCCAUCCAUCCGAUGUCAUCAGCGCCAGCAGACUGCCAUGCCC